rnacentral:rRNA from 1 species
AAGCAGUGGGAGCACCCUUUGGGGUGUGACUGCGUACCUUUUGUAUAAUGGGUCAGCGACUUAUAUUCUGUAGCAAGGUUAACCGAAUAGGGGAGCCGGAGGGAAACCGAGUCUUAACCGGGCGUUAAGUUGCAGGGUAUAGACCCGAAACCCGGUGAUCUAGCCAUGGGCAGGUUGAAGGUUGGGUAACACUAACUGGAGGACCGAACCGACUAAUGUUGAAAAAUUAGCGGAUGACCUGUGGCUGGGGGUGAAAGGCCAAUCAAACCGGGAGAUAGCUGGUUCUCCCCGAAAGCUAUUUAGGUAGCGCCUCGUGAAUUCAUCUCCGGGGGUAGAGCACUGUUUCGGCUAGGGGGCCAUCCCGGCUUACCAACCCGAUGCAAACUGCGAAUACCGGAGAAUGUUAUCACGGGAGACACACGGCGGGUGCUAACGUCCGUCGUGAAGAGGGAAACAACCCAGACCGCCAGCUAAGGUCCCAAAGUCAUGGUUAAGUGGGAAACGAUGUGGGAAGGCCCAGACAGCCAGGAUGUUGGCUUAGAAGCAGCCAUCAUUUAAAGAAAGCGUAAUAGCUCACUGGUCGAGUCGGCCUGCGCGGAAGAUGUAACGGGGCUAAACCAU